rnacentral:rRNA from 1 species
AAGCUACUAAGAGCGAAUGGUGGAUGCCUUGACUGGUAGAGGCGAUGAAGGACGUACUAGACUGCGAUAAGCUAGGUGGAGCUGUCAAGAAGCUUUGAUGCCUAGAUUUCCGAAUGGGGCAACCCAGUAUAUAGAGAUAUAUACUACCAUAAUGGAGCGAACGAGGGGAAUUGAAACAUCUUAGUACCCUCAGGAAAAGAAAUCAAACGAGAUUGCGUCAGUAGCGGCGAGCGAAAGCGUAAGAGGGCAAACCCAGUGCUUGCACUGGGGGUUGUAGGACUGCAAUGUGCAAGAGGAAAGGUUAGCAGAACACUCUGGAAAGUGUAGCCAUAGAGGGUGAUAGUCCCGUAUGCAAAAACCUAACCUUAGCUAGCAGUAUCCUGAGUAGGGCGGGACACGAGAAAUCCUGUCUGAAGCUGGGUAGACCACUAUCCAACCCUAAAUACUACUACCAGAUCGAUAGCGAACAAGUACCGUGAGGGAAAGGUGAAAAGAACGGCGGUGAGCCGAGUGAAAUAGAACCUGAAACCAUUUGCUUACAAUCAUUCAGAGCACUAUGUAGCAAUACAGUGUGAUGGACUGCCUUUUGCAUAAUGAGCCUGCGAGUUGUGGUGUCUGGCAAGGUUAAGCUAACGCGAAGCCGUAGCGAAAGCGAGUCUGAAUAGGGCGCUAAGUCAGAUGCUGCAGACCCGAAACGAAGUGAUCUAUCCAUGAGCAGGUUGAAGCUAGUGUAAGAACUAGUGGAGGACCGAACCCGCUAGCGUUGAAAAGCUAUGGGAUGACUUGUGGAUAGGGGUGAAAGGCCAAUCAAACUUCGUGAUAGCUGGUUCUCUCCGAAAUAUAUUUAGGUAUAGCGUUGUGUCGUAACUAAAGGGGGUAGAGCACUGAAUGGGCUAGGGCAUACACCAAUGUACCAAACCCUAUC